rnacentral:rRNA from 1 species
UACGUAGGGCGCAAGCGUUGUCCGGAAUUAUUGGGCGUAAAGAGCUCGUAGGCGGCUUGUCACGUCGGAUGUGAAAGCCCGGGGCUUAACUCCGGGUCUGCAUUCGAUACGGGCUAGCUAGAGUGUGGUAGGGGAGAUCGGAAUUCCUGGUGUAGCGGUGAAAUGCGCAGAUAUCAGGAGGAACACCGGUGGCGAAGGCGGAUCUCUGGGCCAUUACUGACGCUGAGGCACGAAAGCUAGGGGAGCAAACAGG